GCACCCUAGGAAGAAAUUGUCCAAGCCCAAGGAAGUCGGACUAUUUGAAAUGGUUAACAAACUAUCAGGUCAUCCCAACAUCUUGAAACUGUACAACUGGUUCGAUAGACCUGCGUCUUAUGUAAUGGCAAUGGAGCGCCCCAACCCCUGCAAGGAUCUGUUCACAUACUGCCAGGAUCAGGGGGGCGUCCUGGAUGAGGACGAGGCGCGCAAUGUUACCAGUCAGCUGCUGGGCGCGCUGCAGCACUGUGAAGACCAAGGAGUGGUGCACCGGGACGUGAAGCCCGAGAACAUCUUGAUCCAGACGGACACCAAGGAAAUCAAACUGAUCGACUUCGGGUGUGGAGACCCGCUGAAGAACACCGCCUACACUGACUUCUCUGGGACCCCCGAAUACUUGCCAAUUGAGUGGUUCCAGAAAGAGAAGUUCCUUGCAGGCCCUGGGACUGUGUGGUCAGUGGGCGUGACCCUGUAUAACCUCGUUUGCGGCGGCGAUCCCUUCACUUCGUACACCAGCAAGGGAAUGCGACAUGUGGAGAUCAGUGCCGGGCUGUCACCAGAAAUCAAGGACUUCAUUUGCUGUUGCCUGAGGCCCCAGGCAAGAGACCGACCCACCCUGGAGCAGCUGCAACUCCACCCCUGGAUCCUGAAACACUUCUAAUACCCAAAAAGACUCGACAAGGCCCCCCGAAUACUUGCCAACUGAGUGUUUCCAGAAAGAGGACCAGCCCACCCUGGAGGAGAUGCAGCUCCACGCCUGGAUCCAGCAGGCCUGAUAGACACUGGAGUGUGGGGAUGUACCCCACUGACUGCCGGAAUAAUGGCAAUGAGACAGAGAAACAAAUGGCCCAUUGAGGAGAAAAUUAUUUAGAGAAUGGCGAUAAAUGGAGAUAUAGAAUGGAGAUAUACACCAGUGAGCCAAAAAUUGACAAUU